GUGCCAGCAGCCGCGGUAAUACGUAGGGUGCGAGCGUUAAUCGGAAUUACUGGGCGUAAAGCGUGCGCAGGCGGUCUUUUAAGACAGGUGUGAAAUCCCCGAGCUUAACUUGGGAAUUGCGCUUGUGACUGGAAGGCUCGGAGUGCGGAAGAGGGAGCUGGAAUUCCUGGUGUAGCAGUGAAAUGCGUAGAGAUCAGGAGGAACACCGAUGGCGAAGGCAGGCUCCUGGGCCAGCACUGACGCUCAUGCACGAAAGCGUGGGGAGCAAACAGGAUUAGAUACCCUGGUAGUCCACGCCCUAAACGAUGUCGACUAGUUGUUGGGGAAGGAGACUUCCUUAGUAACGAAGCUAACGCGUGAAGUCGACCGCCUGGGGAGUACGGCCGCAAGGUUAAA
rnacentral:rRNA from 1 species